rnacentral:tRNA from 3 species
GCUCCAGUAGCUCAGUGGAUAGAGCAACUGCCUUCUAAGCAGUUGGUCGCUGGUUCGAGUCCAGCCUGGGGCG